CUAGAUCUAUUAUCGAGGAAAGACAUAGAGAUAUGACGAUGUGUUCAUUUUAAUGGCAGGACGACAUGACAGGCGACGAAAUCCAGUCAUCUCCUAAGGGAGCGACUUUGUACGACAGCCACUACGGGUGGUGGAGCUGGGCGUCGUUCUCGCCGCGGUGCACGUGAUCCAGGACCGCCAUGUCACGACGCACGAGACCUGCUUUGUGCCAAGACAAAGGUUGCCAAAGUUUGACUUGCAUCUCUAGGUCGCAGCGACAAAGAAAGGUGGGCGAUGCGGUGGCGACGCGGGAGCACAACCACCAGGUAUGUAUGGUAUUGAUUUGGGGACAAUAGUGGGACUGGAGCUUGACGUCGACAUCGUGGCGGCGAACACAACGACAAAGAAGGUGAACGCUGCAUUUGUCUCGUUUUGUAGGACAUUGAGUUGUCCAAAGAAAUAAAUGAUUCAUUCAGGCAAUCAUCUCGAGCUAGGACAAUGCUUCCCUCCAGCAUUGAAAUAAGUGGCCAUGUGCUUACAAUAGGCUAUUGGCCUACAUAUCUACCAAUGGACGUGUAUCAGGAAGACAGUCCUGACUUAUUUACUAAUGAAGAAAAAAAUCCAUGAAGUAGAAUCAAUGGAUAUAGAAUUGCUGCUGACUCGUCUUCUAAGCAUGGUGAAGUUGACAUAUCACAUUAGCAAUGAACUAUCAUGGCAGUGAUCAUGAUUUUGUACACUACUUUGGUGUAUCAUCGCCUAAUAAAGUAUCCACAAACUCAUGAGCCUUUUUUCGGUUCUAGCUGCAGACCCCAAAGCAGAACCUGUAGUUCUAGCAAAUAAGUCUAAAUGGUCACCAGAGCAGGGGCAACACAGGAUCUGACGCCCAUUCUAUGUUGCUGAAGUCGAAGCACCUGUGCUCACAAUCGAAAAGCAUGGAACAAGAAGGCUGGAAUUAACUGAGAGGAGAAAAUUUGAAUAUACAUGAGAUAUCUUAUUGAUUACAACUACUAAAGGAGAAGUUGACUUUUUUCUUACCAUAGUACUAAUACACUUAUUGAUAUGAUUUAUUUGUAUCUAUUGAAAUUUUAUGUUUUUCAGUAAUGUAGGCUACUGGUAGUUUUGGUGACUGCAAUAGCCAGCAAUGGUCUAAUGCCAUCAAGGGGUGUCAAGCAAGGCGUUCAUGGUAUUUAGUCCUUAUUGUUUAUGUGGUCGUAGAUUGUUGUGCGUAGCAAUGAUCGCUUCUAUGCCGCUGCAAGCAAACAUCAAUGGUGUGUGAGGAGGUUCUGUCAUGCCUACCAAAUUUGUAAGAAGGCUCUUCUGAUAUUCCUAGAUCCCUGGCACACUAUUGUUUAUUUUAAAAAAUUUAUUGGCACACUAAGGUCUAACACAACAACACCCUCUGUCAACUAUUAACAAAUUCAUGGUGGGAUGACGAUGGUGUGAACUGCAAAGAAGCAUGUGGCCCAACUUCUAGAUCCAGUGGUACCAAACCUCAAUCAACAUUGUUCAGGAUGUUGUCAGCCAUAUUCAGCAAUAGCAGCAACCCACGACUAAUUUGGCUGCCCCAAAAACAUCAGGUGGCAUGAGUAGGGAAGAUACAAACAACGUACGUGGCCUGGUUAGCUGUGAGCAUUCCAAAGUCAUCAUAUAUGUGAGACACCAUGGAUUGGAUUUGCAAGUGAACAAAAAAACUCUAGAAUUUGAUGGUUCUUUCAUCUCAAUCCUUCUAUAUAAUGGCAAAAUUGAUUUGUUU